UACGAAGGGGGCUAGCGUUGCUCGGAAUCACUGGGCGUAAAGCGCACGUAGGCGGCUUUCUAAGUCAGGGGUGAAAUCCUGGAGCUCAACUCCAGAACUGCCUUUGAUACUGGAGAGCUUGAGUCCGGGAGAGGUGAGUGGAACUCCGAGUGUAGAGGUGAAAUUCGUAGAUAUUCGGAAGAACACCAGUGGCGAAGGCGGCCUUCUGGGCUCUACCUGACGCUGAGACGCGAAAGCGUGGGGAGCGAACCGGG
rnacentral:rRNA from 1 species